rnacentral:sRNA from 1 species
GUCGGGCGUGGUGGCGCACACCUGUAAUCCUAGAGGCCGGGGAGGCUGAGGUAGGAGGAUCAUGAGUUCAGAGUCAGCCUCAGCAACUUAGUGAGGCCCUAAGUAACUCAGCAAGACUUUGUCUCUA